UACCCUGAUUCUGCCCUCGCCUGUCAA
rnacentral:piRNA from 1 species